rnacentral:lncRNA from 1 species
AUGUCUCUUUUAUUGGAUAAUUCUGCAAAUAUAUUUUUGGAAAAAUAUUCUCACACUCACAAUCAAAUGUUACUUGCACAUUUUUUGUUGUUGUUGUUCAUUCCAUACAGUGCGACGUGGAAGAACUCAGGAUUUAUCUAUCUGAUCACAGUUGCAGGCAAGAACAUUCUAAGACCAUCCCCAAGAAAGCUACUUCAGUCAUUUUCAGUUUUCACAGCAUACUGUCGUAAUUCUAGCCAGUUUUCGGAAGAAGCUGAUUGUCUACAAUGGUGGACCUUUAUAACACAUGCCUUCAUGCUUCCUGAACUAGAUGGCCCCCUGUGGGAAUUUCCCACAGCUUUAUGGAUUCUAGGGGUUCCUUAAACCUGCUUUGGAAUGAACCAGGGCACAUUUUUAUUUUGAGGUUGGCAAACAUUUUCUGCAAGGGCGAAAUAAUAAGUGUUUCAGGCUCUGCAGGCCAUGUGGUCUCUGUCACAGCUACUCAACUGUCACUGCAGCACGGAAACAGUCAGACACACAGGAAGUACCAAGUGCAACUGGGUUCCAAUAAAACUUCAGCGACAAAAAUACAGAGUGGAAUUGGGCUCCAGGCCAUAGUUUGUACAUACCUGGAGGGUAAGCAAAAAAUAUAAUUACUUUAAAAUAUGCCUUCAAAUUUAAGGCAUUGCUCAAAUCUCUCAAGUAAAUAAACUUCAACUGUUACAGAAAAUUUACACAACUAAAAAUGAACUCAUAAAGAUGAAAAAAGUCCAUAAAUGAUCAAAAUGUUCAUAUUAUUUUUACAUUUACAGUACACCAGCUUCUCUCUGGAAGUGUGUUAUAUGAUCUGAUUUACGAAAUAACUAAUUAUAAUUGAUUCCAUUUGUUUAA